AGUAGUGUAGAAGUUGGUAAUCAGUCUCCUUUCUAAAUCCAUGUCUUUUUGUUUCUUUGUAGACCACUAAUGGACCCCUCUGCAAAGCCAGUGAUCCAGAGGCCUGCAGGAAACCUGCCUACUGUUAUAACUGCUCUAAGAAAGGACACUUCGGCCAUGAAUGCACCGAGAAGAGAAUGUAUAAUGGGACAUAUCCCACCCUGCCAUUUCUUUCCCGUUACGACACAAAGAAUGACUUCCAUUACCGGGAAAUUCGAGUUAAAAAGCAGGCCAGAGAACUUAAGCAAGCUGGAUUGAUUUCACCUGACAGAGCUGUCAUUACAUAUACCCCCCAACCACCCAGGAAGAAACAAAAAAACAGCCACAAACAGUCUCCAUACCCAUACAACACUCACACCAACAACCAGAACACGCCGAAGAGACGCAUCGCGCACACACCCAAACACACAUACUUCAACGUCAAGCAGAACUCAGAAACGCCAGGGAACCACGGCAAACACACCCCUAAGAGCAAGUUUAAACCGCAAGAUCAAAGCCAGAAUGAAGCCAAAAAGAAGAAAAAGAAAACACAAUCUGAAGUUGUUUUAGAUGAAGAUGCAGACUUUCGUAGAGGUUGCAAAAAGAGCCCUCACAAGACAAGAGACGUUUCAUCACCUCGGAAAGCCAAUGUGAAGCCGAAUAAGCCCUUUGGAAUGGAAAAGAACAAUAAAAAGGACAAACUAUCGAAAAAGAAGGAGAGGAAGUGGCAAAAGAGAGAACGAAAAGCUGCAAAAGAUUCUUCCAUGUAUCCUUCCGAUGAAAACCUUUUUCAGAUUAAGCAAAGAAAGGUAUGAAGAUGUAUUUUAAAAAGGCAAAUUGUGUGAAUGGGACGUCAAGUGAUUUAAAGGAUUCACCCUCUACUGGUGGUUGCUUUUGGUCCAUCUUCUUAUUUGUAUACAGUAUUACUGCUUUUUAGGUUGUUCUUGGAAGAAAAAUUCUACGCAAAUCAGACCCUCUCACCCAAAUACAGUUAAUUUCUCAGUGCUUGGCUGUAAUGUAAUGUUUGACAUUAAAAAGUGCAUAAUUUUGGGAAAGAUUUAAUGUUUAUCAAAUUUGGGUAUUUUAAAAGCAGGUGUCCAGCUUGUUACAUGACAAGUGUAUAGAGUUUCCUAUUUUGUGUACAUGCUGACUUCUGUAACAUUGUGAUUAAAUUAAAGUC
rnacentral:lncRNA from 1 species